CCUUACUCCUCUCUUCCUUGCUGUCUCUUCUGACAAAUUCCAAUCAGUAGGGCUCACAUGUCAGGGCUUUUUUUUUUUUUUUUUUUUUAGCCUAUCUGCAGGGCAGGGUGAAGGUUCAGGCAGACGGCUGUGAUUUGAUCAAUGAAGGAGACACAUGGGGUGGCUGAGCGGUGCAGGGCGGGGAGCUGGGCUGGAAACUGCCUCAGCUCCUGGUCCGUCCUCUGGGAAUGGGGCCCUGGGCAGCCUUGUAUGAUGGAUUUUCACAAUUGGGCAACUGGAGGGACCGUAGAGGUGAUGAAAGGAGGCUCUUGGAGAAACAAUGUGACUGGUUCAAGGUUACUCAGCCAGAACGGGAACCCAGUCUCCGGAUUUGCCUGUGUCCUGUCUCUUUCUCACUUCCAAAUUCUGGAUUCAUCACUGUUCUGUGUGGGGACAGGGUGAGGACCAACUCAUAUCCUGGAGCCUUUUGGGGGGCAUUGCUAUCUUGAGAAGAGAUGUCAGUGGCAACCCUUUUCUCUUUUCCAGGUACGAUUGCAGUCUGGGAGGCCUGUGAGAGGCUGGCUGUCCUUGGCUGCCCAGGGUAACACCCGAGACCUCAGAUCUGGACGUAAGGGGGUUCUGGGCUUCAGCGGGCAAUACACCCAGCCUCUAUGACAUGUGCUUCCCACUGCCCCCUUCUGCCUCCUCUUUCUCUUCUUUGUACCUGCCCCACCCCUCACCAGGGGCCACCAGGCUUGCUGUCUCUGCAGCCCACAGCCCCACCACAUCCUGCCCCAUCUAAGCCACCCCCAUCUCCCCAGGUAAAGAGGAGGAUGAGCCCAGCUGUCCCUCAUCCCCUCCCCAACCCUCCAGCCUCCACUGUUAGCACUCUAGCCCUUUGGAGUCCUGGGAAGAGGGGAGACGGUGGGGAGGGAGUGCUGAUGGGGAAGGGGGCCAGGCUGUAGGCUACAACCCAAGCUCCAGGAGGCCUCUGGGAUGGGGCUUUGGGAACAGUGCCCAGCUUGGGGCCUGCCUCUGGCCAGAGCUCCUGGAAAACUGCCUCUCUGGCCUCCAGACCUGGGGAGGAGCCAAAUUCUGAAGCACUGCCUCUCCAGCUCUGGCCUCAGCCGCCUCCUCUGGCUCCAGCAGAGCUCCCAAUCCCAGCAAAGUCGGGGGAAGAGUGGAUUUCUAACUCUGGCACUUGGUGGGUGUGGAUUUUUCUGUCUCCACAUCUGGGAUUGAGAAGUUGAGACCUGUAAGCUGGUGACCUUUGCUCCUCCAGAGUUCUGGGCCCCCCUGAAGGAUGGGUUCCAUCCACCCUCCGUCCCUCCAGGGUCCCCAUCCUCCCCUCCCCUUCCCCCAGUGUGGCUCAGAUCAGUCUAUUUCAGAAAAGGGAACUGGGUCUUCGAAGGGAGUGUUUAGCUGGAGGUCUUGGGGGGAAGAUAUCUUUGGGGCGAUGGGAUAGUAAAGCUGUCCGCAGGUUCUUUCCUAAUGUCACAUGUGAAGCCAACGGGUUCUUUUCUCAUCUCACAUAUGAAGAUUUACACGCAUGGGUGUGGGCACAUAUGUUCCAGAUCCAGUAACCUCACAGUCUUCGCUUCUCCUGGGUGGGGAUAUUGGAAGUGAAGUGGGGAAUGCAGGGUAACCUGCUUUUCCAAAAGUUUUAAUUGAAAUGGAUAAAGGAAUUCAGAGAAUACCUGUGGCUUUCUAGGGUCACUCAGCAGAUGGAGAGGGUGAUCAUCAGCUUAAAGAAGACCAAAUUUGUGCCUGGGUCUAUUUCUUUCCAGUAAAUGCCCAGUGACUCCACCAGAACCCCAGGUCCUGGGUUUGGGAAGGGCUAGGCUUGCUGAGGGGCAUUUGGGAAAGGAAAGAGAGCUUUCCUUGGCAGGCUGGACACCUCACCUGGAAAAUGACGAGGAGGGCCACCACCAACACGUUCUUCAUUGGCUUCCCUGAAGGAGACAAGCCAUCCUAGUGGGUGUGACGUGGUUUUGCUUUGUGUUAUCCUAACGACUAAUGACGGGCUCCUCCCUCCUCUUCCUUGAGCACAAGGAGGUUUUCUGCUCCAUGAUUGUUUGCAAGGACUCCACAGGCCCAGGCCCUCCUGGCCAGGCCAGCAGGCGAGCAGUUUACACGGAAUCCAAGCGCUCAGCGGGGAGCAGAUCAAGGCUGAGUGUUUUCCCCAGCUGCUGAGGAAGGGAUCGUCUCUUCAAGGGCAGAAAAUGAAAGAUAAAGCCAGACUGUGAUGUGAGUUCAAGGUGGACCAUUUUUAUUGGAAGAAUGGGGAAAGACUCCAUGUAGCAGAUAACAACAGUUAACAAAUUGAGCCUCCACCUCUGCUGGGCACUCUUCAAGCUUUACGCAGUAGUCUCAUUUACUCCUCACACCAACAACAUGGCUUGUCCCUCAUGAGGAGCCUAGAAUAUUACCCCUCACCCCCAAAGGGUGUUGCACAGAAGACCAACUGAAGCUACCACGAUUGCUGCAAAUUCUCAACAUCUCAGAUUCCACUGGGUUCUCUGCCAAAAUGGUAGUCAACAGCCCAACCCAACAGUUUUUCCAACUUGACUCAAACUUUCUUGUCUCGUUUCCUGAUAUUGGGGUUGUGGGGCUGGAGUGGGGGUAGGGAGUGAGAAAGCAAGCUUGGAGGCUUCAUUGUGCCCCCACUAAGUCUUGAGUUCCUGAAGACGGGGCUUUGUCUUCUCCUUUUUAUAUCCCCAGAAGAGAAUGCGGUGCUGGGGAGACAGAUGCACACUGAUGUCUGUCAGAUGAGCGAAUGAAGGUGACUCGGGGGCACUUUCUGAUGCACUGAACGAAUGGCCACACUGAUGGUGUGUCCUGCUGGGCCCUCAGGCAGGAGUCACUCGGCACAGGUUUCAGCUUGUGAAGUCCCCAGAACCCUGUGGGCACAGUUCCUGGGAAAUCUUUCAUUUUCACAUCUUCUAAGCUUCUACAGCAGCUCAGGAAGGGGGAGGUUUUCUUAGAGAGCCCAACCCCUUGAUAUGCUGGGUGGGUUGUUGAAAACCAACCUGGAGAGCAAUCAGAAGAGACCCACUACUCUUUAGGGGGCCCCGGGAUUGUAGAAUGAUGGGGGCCCAGGGAAGGGGGAGACCCCUCUCUUUUUUAUCUUCCAGAGAAGGGUUCAUCUUACUGUAGUGGGUAUUUCUUAAAAGUGGGAUGACAAAGGUGAAGUGUUCAGUUCACACAGAAGAAUUUUCCUCUGCUGAUAGUUUUUCUCCUGUCAUUAAAACACAGAAAAGGAAGAAAAUACAAAGGAAAGAAAUCAUAUAUGUACCAAGAUGCUAACUGUGCUGAAGAAUCUACAGAAACUUAGAGAAAGACAAAUAUCAUAUGAUACCACUCAAUAUGUGGUUAUCAAAUGUGGGUACUCAUAUGUGGCUAUCACACAUGUGUGACAUCACUUGUAAUUGGAAUCUAAAAAACGAUGUAAACCAACUCAUUUACAAGACAAAAAUGGACUCACAGAUUUUGAAAACAAAACUUAUGUGGGGGAGGGGAAGGAUAAAUUCAGAGCUUGGAAUUAGCAUACUACUAUAUA